UACGUAGGGGGCAAGCGUUGUCCGGAAUUAUUGGGCGUAAAACGCGCGCAGGCGGUUUCUUAAGUCUGGUGUGAAAGCCCGCAGCUCAACUGCGGAGGGCCACUGGAAACUGGGAAGCUUGAGUGUAGGAGAGGAGAGCGGAAUUCCACGUGUAGCCGUGAAAUGCGUAGAUAUGUGGAGGAACACCCGUGGCGAAAGCGGCUCUCUGGCCUAUAACUGACGCUGAGGCGCGAAAGCGUGGGGAGCGAACAGG
rnacentral:rRNA from 1 species